GGGCUCUUUGUGCGAGUGUAGAUAAAGACACUCUAUUCGCGACACGAUGAGAGAAGCACGUCUAUAAACGACUAUUGCAAGUUAUGCAGAUGUACGAUUCAAAGUCCAAGCGGCCAGGCUCUGAUGAAAGACACGCUGUUCUCGCGGUUUCACCCAUAUCCCGGGAGAAUCAGUCCUGCAAUCGGGUAAAAGAAGCGGACCAAUUGGACAACAACACAAACCAGAACAACUUCCAAGAACAACUAAUUAGAAAAAACUCCGCCAUAGCGAAAACAGCAAUCCAAUUAGACAAAAUCUCGAUUGAGAUAAAUUUAUCGAUAUCGAUAUUCCAAUUACCCCACACUAGAGGUCGCUAACGGCUCUGUGUGUUGCUCCGGCGCACUAGAGAUAAAUCUUUUUACUGCACACUUCGAUUAGAAAAUUCCUUUAUUAAUUGACUGGCUUAAUUAAAACGAUUUCGUUGGUUUCUUCCUAGUGGUAAAAUUAUGGUAGGAGAUUAAAUUUUUAGUAGAUUAUUACUAAACCUAAUUAUAUAGGAACUCUGAUCCUGAAUGCAAGAUUAAAUUUUAAUCGUUUUAUCGAGAUAACAUGGUGCCUCCCUUUUCCGGGGUGCGCCGUUUUAGAAAGGUACAAGAACUAUACAAAACUUAAUAGAAUUUCUUUUAAUGGAAGCUGAAAAUAGUACGGUACUUAUUUCAAGAAUCGAAUCAGUAAUGCUAUGUUUAAGGAACAAUUGUUAUUAUACCUAACACUUAGAUGUUUUCAAAAAAAUAAUUAAUAAAAAAAAACUCAAAGCA